AGGACUUAGGCAAGGUGAUAGUUUAUCACCAUUUCUGUUUGCAAUAGCUACUGAGCGCCUUGCAGGUUAAGUGAAGCAAGCAGCCAAUAUUGGGCAAGGUGAUAUGCUUUCAACAAAUGCAAGACCUUGAGCAUCUAUUAUUGAGAACCUAUUUAGUGCAAAACGUGUGGAAAGAGGUGUGUCUAUGGACAAACUAUGCUACAAGUUUUGAGGAGAAUAUAAUGGAUCACUUCAUGC
rnacentral:lncRNA from 1 species